UUAAGUCUCUUGCCUUUUGGCUUAGAUCAAGUGUAGUAUCUGUUCUUCAUAGUUUAAUCGAAGCCACGCCUUCGGCGUGGGCUUCUUUGUCUCGGCCUCUGUUUACCUCCU
rnacentral:snRNA from 1 species